CCUUUAUAGCUCAACGGUAGAGCGAAAUACUGUUAAUAUUUUGAUGUAUGUUCAAUUCAUACUAGGGGCUU
rnacentral:tRNA from 1 species